rnacentral:rRNA from 1 species
GUCUACGGCCAUGCCACCCUGAACGAGCCCAAUCCUGUCUGAUCUUGGAAGCUAAGCAGGGUCGGGCCUGGUUAGUACUUGGAUGGGAGACCACCUAGGAAGACCAGGUGCUGUAGAUG